rnacentral:rRNA from 1 species
AUACGGAGGGUGCGAGCGUUACUCGGAGUCACUGGGCGUAAAGCGUCCGUAGGCGGUCGGGUAAGUCGGGUGUGAAAGCCCCGGGCUCAACCUGGGAAGUGCACCCGAUACUGCUCGACUCGAGUGCGGGAGAGGAUGGCGGAAUUCCCGGUGUAGCGGUGAGAUGCGUAGAGAUCGGGAGGAACACCAGUGGCGAAGGCGGCCAUCUGGCCCGCAACUGACGCUGAGGGACGAAAGCGUGGGGAGCAAACAGGAUUAGAAACCCUAGUAGUCC